GAUGAACGCUGGCGGCGUGCUUAACACAUGCAAGUCGAGCGAUGAAGUUUCCUUCGGGAAAUGGAUUAGCGGCGGACGGGUGAGUAACACGUGGGUAACCUGCCCAUCAGAAGGGGAUAACACUUGGAAACAGGUGCUAAUACCGUAUAACAAUCAAAACCGCAAUGGUUUUGAUUUGAAAGGCGCUUUCGGGUGUCGCUGAUGGAUGGACCCGCGGUGCAUUAGCUAGUUGGUGAGGUAACGGCUCACCAAGGCCACGAUGCAUAGCCGACCUGAGAGGGUGAUCGGCCACAUUGGGACUGGAGACACGGCCCAA
rnacentral:rRNA from 1 species